UUUUAGGGGUUAGGGUUUUACAGAAGCCAUAACUUGGUUAACACUGCAGAGUUCAAUCUCAAGCUUCGGCUCUCUCUGCAAAAUUCUUUCAUAGAUGGGCAGCAAUCAAGCGGCAGUGUCGUUCCUCAACAACUUAGCCCCGGCGGCGUUGGGCUUCGGCUUGGGCGUCACCGUUCUCAACUCCUCGCUCUACACCGUUGACGGCGGCCAACGCGCCGUCCUCUUUGACAGGUUCCGGGGAGUCAUCGACCAGACAGUCGGCGAAGGAACGCAUUUCCUAAUCCCCUGGCUCCAAAAGCCCUUCAUCUUCGACAUCCGAACCCGUCCCCACACCUUCUCUUCCGUCUCCGGCACGAAGGAUCUCCAAAUGGUCAAUCUCACUCUCCGUGUCCUCUCUCGCCCCGAAGUCUCUCAGCUCCCGAGAAUUUUCCAAACCCUAGGCCUGGAGUACGACGAGAAGGUCCUUCCGUCCAUCGGAAAUGAAGUCCUCAAGGCCGUCGUCGCUCAGUUCAAUGCCGAUCAGCUGCUCACUGAGCGUCCUAACGUCUCAGCCUUGGUCCGCGAGAGCCUGAUUCGUCGCGCCAAGGACUUUAACAUCGUCCUCGACGACGUCGCCAUCACGCACUUGUCGUACGGGGCGGAGUUCUCCAAGGCGGUAGAGCAGAAGCAGGUGGCGCAGCAGGAGGCCGAGCGGUCUAAGUUCAUUGUGGCCAAGGCCGAGCAAGAGAGGCGAGCGGCCAUCAUUAGGGCGGAGGGAGAGAGCGAGUCUGCCAAGUUGAUUUCGGAUGCAACUGCUGCUGCUGGAAUGGGAUUGAUCGAGCUCAGGAGGAUUGAAGCUUCUAGGGAGAUAGCGGCAACAUUGGCAAAGACUCCCAAUGUGGCUUACCUGCCUAGUGGGAACAACAUGUUGUUGGGGCUCAAUCCUUCCAUGGUCGGCCGCUGAAUCGGUGAUUUUCACUGACGCGUAUUGUUUUCAGUUAUUAUGUUGCAAUUCGGCUAAUCGGCGCAUUGUCCAGCUAAUUUGUCUGUCAACCUUUUACCUUCUGCAAGUUUUUGUCCUCGUACAAAUAGGCCUGCCCAAAUCUGCACAACUUUCCUAGAUUUCAAAUGCUCUUGGAAUAAUUUCUUUGUUGUUGUUACCCCCAUUUGAGUAUUGCUUCUGCAAUGUCUUACUUUGGUUGGACAUCUCUGCUUUUUUAGAAUGAUGGAAUAGAUUACUGCGGGUGUCUCUGGAGCUCAUUUAUGCGCUGUUGUCUUGUCUUUGCUUCCAAGUUGCCAUGGGUUUUUAUAUACAUUAGUAACUGUUUGAAAUAUGUUAGUUGUAGAUGCAUUUACAUUCUGCACUUUGGUUUCAAAACUCUUGGUAACUCGAGCUACAACUCGGUUAUUACACACAGGUUUGGCUCUUCAAUCAACUACUUCCCGGAAUUCAGAGAGAGAGACAGUUUG